rnacentral:lncRNA from 1 species
ACACACACCAUGUUGCACCGUCAUGUUUAACCCCCCUCCCCCUCCUCUUCCCCCCCCCCCCCCACUGCUGCAGAAUGGACUGGUCCAGAGAGAGAGAGGGAGGGAGGGAGAGAGACACUGACAGGUAAUGGGCUGAAACUCAUGGAGAGAGAGAGAGAGAGAGAGAGAGAGAGAGAGAGAGAGGCACACUGCUGCUAUCACACACACACACACACACACACACACAGCGGGACUAUAUUUGGGCUGAGCGCAGUAGAACAGUUGAUGACGGAGCUGCUGGAUGUUUCUGACGGACACCGGCACCAACAGACAGACCGCUGAGCUGAAGAAUCUGAGCUGCAGAGAAACUCCAGCCUGAAGAUGUGAGUCGACUUUAUAUUCUGAUUUAUUCAACAUCAUUUAGUCGUCGGCCUCUCAAAGUUUAAAGUCAAAUUCACAAAAAACAUCGAUGCACUAAUCUUCUUUUUUUAAACAAAUCUUUUUGGGACAACCAGGUCUGUUUAAAAAUGAAGAAAUCAUUCAGUAAUUCAUUGUGUUUAUUGAUUAAUGAGGCAUUCAGUCACAAGAUAUGAAAUGAAAUAUGAAAUUAGAAAUGAUCAGUGAGAACUACACAGAUCAAAAGUGAUGAAAUGAACCUUUAACACUAUAAAACUUAAACCCUGUUCACCAAUUCUGUCUGAAUAUGUGAGAUAUUUUAGGAUCCACAUCUUAAUACUGAUCAUAUGUCAUCACAGGCUGAUAUAUAGAACAUUUUGUUCAUGAAAAGCACAACACACAUGUUUGUUUUUACGGCUGUUUGUUCUGAUUACUGAAUGAAAAAAGGAGAUAUUAUAUCUUUAAAUGUCAACAACAUGGAAGAAGAAGUUUGAACUUCGUGUUUCUGAUGAUUUUAAAUUGAAUACUGUCUCAUUUUCUGUGAUUCUUCUGAUGAUUCGAACGAGAACAGACUGCUGGUUUUAUAUAGUUAUCAUUAACGCGUGCGCUGAUCCGAUGGUCCGAUCACAUAUAGAAACAUGACAUCAUCGGUCCGUCCUGCGGUCGCACGCACACCCGGCAGAACAGCCGGUUCUGGUGUCGUACCGCUUUUGUCCAAAGGAGGAGCCAGAACCAGCAAAAGCUGAAAGUUCCUGGUUGUCCCUUUAAGAACAGUUCUGGAGUUAAACUGUGGAGGAGGAGGGCAGGAACCGAUACCGGCCUCCUCCACUGUAUUGAUCCAGUUAUGUAUUGAUCAGAUUGUAAUUGAUCUCUCUCCAGACGCAGACGCAGAUGUUUUCCUCUCACACUGAAGGCAGAAUAAAAUACCCUGAAUUCAUCUGAUUUAAGUGAAACUGGAUCUUUCUCUGACACAGUGUGUUUGAUCGGAUGUGAAGCCGCCUCGUCACAUUAUCAUAAAACAGAACUAUAAACAGUUCAGUGGACAGAGUGAGUUGAACCUGCUCAACACACUCAGACUGUUCUCGUCCGGUCGGCUGCGGUGGAAGAAGAACUCAGAAAUAUUAAAGAUAUAAAAGUAAAUGAACAUUCAUGCAGAAAUCCUCCAGUGUCAGACUGAAACUGUCACAUUUUAACAGAUUAAUUAUUCAGUGACAGCAGACACCAGCAGAGAUCAAUAACACAGCACACAGAAAUAUGUGUGUGCAGAGAAGAGAAAAG